UACGUAGGGUGCGAGCGUUAAUCGGAAUUACUGGGCGUAAAGCGUGCGCAGGCGGUUUUGUAAGGCAGAUGUGAAAUCCCCGGGCUUAACCUGGGAACUGCGUUUGAAACUACAAGGCUAGAGUGUAGCAGAGGGGGGUGGAAUUCCACGUGUAGCAGUGAAAUGCGUAGAGAUGUGGAGGAACACCGAUGGCGAAGACAGCCCCCUGGGUUAACACUGACGCUCAGGCACGAAAGCGUGGGGAGCAAACAGG
rnacentral:rRNA from 1 species